CCCUUAGAUGUCCGGGGCUGCACGCGCGCUACACUGAAGGAAUCAGCGUGCUAGAAAACCUUGUUUGACAUGGCUAGGUAACCCGUUGAAAAUCUUUCGUGAUUGGGAUCGGGACUUGCAAAUGUGUCCCUUGAACGAGGAAUUCCCAGUAAGUGCGGGUCAUAAGCUCGCGCUGAUUACGUCCCUGCCCUUUGUACACACCGCCCGUCGCUACUACCGAUUGAAUGGUUUAGUGAGAUCUCCGGAUUGGCUCUGUAGGUCCCGCAAGGGAUUUAUUAGUAGCCAAGAAGCUGCUCAAACUUGAUCAUUUAGAGGAAGUAAAAGUCGUAACA
rnacentral:rRNA from 1 species